rnacentral:lncRNA from 1 species
UUCAUCAAUUUACAAUGCUAAAUCAAGUUAUAAUUUUUAAAUUACAAUUACAAUCAAUUUACAACCAAAAAUAAAGCCAAAAAUAAAUUACAAUAAAAAUCAAAUCAGGUCAAGGCAGACCAAAAAGCAACUAAUCAGAUAAAAAAAAAACUCUAUAAAUACAUCUUUUUUUACAAAGAGGAGGGACAUUUUUUUUUGGAGGAGGAGAAAUCUGAGCUUAAUACUGAUAAAAAACACAUAAAAAGGAAGAGAAGAAGAAACAGGAGGCAUCACCGUCGUUCUAACUUCCACCAUACACCACCGUUUUUGUCUUCACCAGUAUCUGAAAAGGCAUGUAUCUUCUCAUUAUCUUCACAUUUACAGCUUUACGAACUUUAUAUUACUAGAUUGGAAGCUAAAACUGUUUUAUUUGAAAGAUGGAAUUUUACUUUAUAUUACUAGAGUUUUGUUUCAAUCACUUAUUUACCUAAAAGCUAUGUUGAAAGAUUUUACAUUUGAAUAUGUUUUUCUAUUAAAAUGUUUAUUUAUUUAAUAGAUCAUAUUACAAAUCCAUGUAUUUUUUUUAUCAUUUUGUGUGUGUUUACUACUGACUUUAUUUUGCAGAAUUAUUUAAACUUAUUUCAUAUUUAACAUCAAUUUUUUUUAAAAAAGCAAAGAAUAUUUAUAAUCGAAUUUUAAAAGAUUAAUUAGAUGUGACAUCUUUUAAUGUUUGAGUUGUUAGGACACCAGUGGUACAACUUGAUAGUCCUAAAACUCUAUUUAUUUAUUUAUUUAUUCAUUUAUUUAUCUUAAUGAACUAAUCUAAAAUCGAUUUAUUUAUUAGAUGUAACCUUUUUAUCUUCGAGUUAUUAAAACACAAGUUGUACUACUUGGUGGUUUUAAAACUCAAUUUAAAAAUCGAGAACAAUAAAAUAUUUUUAGAGGAUUAAAUUAGAUGUAACAUCUUCUUUAUUCCUUGAGUUUUGGGACAUAAGUUGUACAACCUGAUUCGUCUUAAAACUCGUAUUUUAAAGUAUUUAUUCAAAUUAAAUUAUUUUAUUUUUUCUAUUUUGUCAAAACUUUUUUUAUCACAAAACAAAUUUUCUUUAAAACGCACUCAACACAUAAACAUUUUCUACAUCAAGAACUACGUAGCUUUGAUUUCUCCAUCGCACCGGGAGAUACGUAGGAGCAAGAUCAUAUUCUUGUCAAGCACAUAAAUAAAAAUUUCUUUGUUUUCCUUUAUUUGUUAAGUACAUAUUUAUUUCAAAAUCAUAUUUUAAGUAUAGUAAUAAUUGUUACUCAUAUUUAAUAAUAAAGAAAAAUAAAUAUACUUAAGUUAAUAUUAAUUUUGCACAAUUAAUUAUUGAUAACCGUAUUUUAACGGAUGUCGUAGGGUGCUAAUACCUUCCUUACGCAUAAUCGACUGCCGAACUCAAAUUUUGGUUUCAAAGACCUUUUUUUUUUUUUUUUUUUUUUACUAUUUUAAGGGUUUCCCAAUAUUUUCCCUAUUUUAAAAUAAAUUUUGGUGGCGACUCCAUUGAAUUCGAGGAAAUUAGGCCGCGACACUAAAGAAAAGGACACUUCCAACAAGUUCUUAGCUUGUGUUAUGUUAGUUUAUUGCAGCCCAUACAUUUAGCUUACAGUCAGAUAGUUAGUUAGCUUUUUGUUUUAAACUUCUCGGUAGUUAUUUUGUUAGUACACUUAAUUGACUAUAUAAGCUCAGUUUGUAACUAGAUCAAUUCAUUCAAUGAGAAAACACAAUGUGCUCUAAAAUCACUUUGAAUUUGCAUGGGACAACAUAUAAGAACAAAAGUUUCAUACAAAACCUGAAGGCUUAUUAUGUUUGUGGAGUUUAAUUUUGCACUAAAAGUAUACAAUUUACUUGUUGUUUAACAUUUUGUUUUUUUGUAGGUUAUUUGAUUGCUAAUUGAUUAUUAUUAGACAAUUUCUUCUCAUGCAUCUAUGUUUCACAUCGUCGUUAUGAUUGUUCAAUCUAAACAUGUAAAAUACACCUAAAGAUUGGCCAAUUCGAUUUUCAGAAAAAACAUGAGUGAGAGAAAAGAAGCUCACUUAUUAUUAAAGUGAGGUGUUUGACAUUUCAAAAAUUCAGAUUUGGAUUGGUCUCAAUAGCUUCUAAUGUGAGUCCAUCCCUAGUUGAGUCACGAAUGUAGGUUGUGUUGUCAUGUAGAGUAUUAAAAAAUUACUAUAAAUAAAAAAUUUAUAAUUUUCAUCAAAUUAUCUUUAUUAACUAUUGAUGUAUAAUGUAUGAUUGAGUUACACAAUUUAAAAAAUAAUUAGUAUUAAAUUAAAAACUUAAAAUGACAUUUAUUUUGAGACAAUUUAUUUUGUUAAAAUAAUCACAUAUAUAUAAUGAAAAACUUAGGGAGAAAUCAUUUUUAUUCAUAUACUACCUUUGUCCUUAUAAAUAUGACCUUCUUGUAAAAAGGUAAAUUGUCCUUUUUUAUAAGGCCCUUUCCAAAUUAUAUGGUGCAUGAUUACUUUUUCACAAGAAUACCUCUAUUUAAAAGAAAAUAAUUAUAAGAUCAUUUUUCUGUUUCUCUUAAUAAUUGAUUGAUAAUUUUAGAAAACGAUCGUACAUCAUUAACACAUUUAAUGUGAUUUUUUUUUUUUAAAUGUGAAUCAAUCUAAUUGUUAUACGUAGGGACGAAAGUAGUACAUCUCAUGAGUCACAUACAUGGACACUACACUUGAAUAAAAUUUAAAAAAUAAAUUUGCAUAUAUAUAGAGUAAUUAUUAUAGCAGCUGUUACCUUUAGCAACACUUAUUGAUAUUUGAAACCAAAAGAGUCGUUAAGCAUCCACCCAAUAAUGCAGCAUGAGAUUCCUUCUAAGAUGUGUGAUGAGCUUAAAGUAGAUGAAAGAGUGAAAAAUUAAUUGCAGCAGUUUUGGGGUGUAAUACAAAGCCAAUUAUAGGAAUUGGAAAGUGGGUAGAGUUUACAUUAAAACUUAGGAACAUGCAUUAAUUGAUACAUGC